ACAUGGGUCGGCCAUGUGAAAGGCGAACGCCCUACCGCUGUGCUAUCACUCCAGCUCCCGAAGCUGCGCGCUCGGUUGAAGAGGACGGCCUUCCCCAAUAGAGACGGACCGGUCUUUGGUCGAGGGUAUACGAGUAGCUGCGCUGCCCUGCUAGAAUCUCCCAACAAUUUAUGUAUAUGGUUAUUAAAAAUUUGAAGUUAUUUAAAUCUAAUGCUGUUUACUAACAAAUAAGGCAAGAAUACUAUGGUAAACUUUUGCCUUAGUUU
rnacentral:snRNA from 1 species